UGGGGAAUAUUGGACAAUGGGCGCAAGCCUGAUCCAGCAAUGCCGCGUGAGUGAUGAAGGCCUUAGGGUUGUAAAGCUCUUUCGCACGCGACGAUGAUGACGGUAGCGUGAGAAGAAGCCCCGGCUAACUUCGUGCCAGCAGCCGCGGUAAUACGAAGGGGGCUAGCGUUGUUCGGAAUUACUGGGCGUAAAGGGCGCGUAGGCGGCCUGUUUAGUCAGAAGUGAAAGCCCCGGGCUCAACCUGGGAAUAGCUUUUGAUACUGGCAGGCUUGAGUUCCGGAGAGGAUGGUGGAAUUCCCAGUGUAGAGGUGAAAUUCGUAGAUAUUGGGAAGAACACCGGUGGCGAAGGCGGCCAUCUGGACGGACACUGACGCUGAGGCGCGAAAGCGUGGGGAGCAAACAGGAUUAGAUACCCUGGUAGUCCGCGCCGUAAACGAUGAAUGCUAGACGUCGGGGUGCAUGCACUUCGGUGUCGCCGCUAACGCAUUAAGCA
rnacentral:rRNA from 1 species